UCCCGUGUGGCUCAGCUGGUAAAGAAUCCGCCUGCAAUGCGGGAGACCUGGGUUCGAUUCCUGGGUUGGGAA
rnacentral:tRNA from 1 species